AUUGUAUAUUUAUUUAUAUGUAUAUUUUGCCUUACGUUCCUUUCCAAGAAAAUGCUCUGUGACCCUGUCGUACCAACUAGGCUCGAUGUUGUUUUU